GCGGAUAUGCGGGCGGUCGGAGCCACAAAUGGUGAGAGGAGGUUCGGACCACGCUCGCCAAUGGCCUGCAGCGAUCAUUUAACUGUACCCGCACAGCAGUUAAGCCCUGAGGUGCGCACCGAUAUCGAUAUCCGUGCCGGUUUAGCGGUUCUGCGACCCAAAGAGUCCAGGGAGAGCCACCGAGUGGCGCCUGGCGUAUAGGACCAUGCAGCCGCCUUGUGGCUUGGAGCAGCGGCCCGUGAUGUUCCAGCCACUGUGAACCAUUUGGUCAGCGCCAACCUGCUCAGCCCCAGCACCGACAGGCUCAGCCUCUGGUACGCUCCUCUCGGCGGGAGGCCAUCAGCACCAAGCAGCAAGAGGGCUCAGGGAAGGCCUCCCCCCUCCGGCGGGGGACGCCUGGCUCA
rnacentral:lncRNA from 1 species